AUCUAAUUUAAAAUUAAAUAGCAGUGUGAUUAAGUAUGAAUAAUGACAAUUAAUUGAGGGAUUUUAGGGUCUGUUUGGUUCACAGGAAUAAGAGUCCGGAAUCGGAAUUAGAAUGGGUCAUUCCAAUUCCAGAUGUUUGGUUGGACGGAAUUGGAAUCCGAUUCCCAUUCCAAGCGGAAUGGCAAUCCCUCAUUGGCCAUUCCCGAAUCCCGACCCACCCCCCAGGAAUCGGAUUCCCAUUCCAGCUGGUUAAAUCAAUAAAAAGGAAAAUGACGGAAAAACCUCCCAAACCCCCGAUUCCCUCUUUCUCCUCUCUCUCGACACUCCCUCCUUCAAACCUUCUACAGUUCGACGGUUGGCCAGGUCAUGAUGGAUCUCUCUCCUUUUAUCUCUCCCCUUCUGCAAACCCUUCAACCAGCUCCCUCCCCUUCUGCAAAACAUCUCUACCCAUCCGCCAAAGAGUUAAAGACCUCGUCUCUCGUCUUACUUUAGACGAGAAGAUCUCUCAACUCGUUAACAAUGCGCCAGCGAUUCCCAGACUUGGUAUUCCCAACUAUCAAUGGUGGUCGGAAUCGUUGCACGGCGUUGCCGAUGCCGGACCUGGCAUCCGAUUCAACGGAACCAUUCAACGUGCUACAAUCUUUCCUCAGGUCAUCCUCACUGCCGCAUCGUUUGAUGAACGUCUCUGGUAUCGCAUUGGACAGGUAAGCGAGUAUUCACUCUAACAACUCUGCUCAUGAGAAAAGGGCAAAAUUUACUUUUACUUAGAAGGCUAUUGGUACCGAAGCUCGAGUUGUAUACAAUGCCGGGCAAGCCAAAGGAAUGACAUUUUGGGCUCCGAACAUCAAUAUAUUCAGGGACCCCAGAUGGGGGAGAGGGCAAGAGAUGCCAGGUGACCCAUUGGUUUCUGGCAAGUAUGUUGUUUCUUUUGUGAGAGGGGUUCAGGGGGAUUCAUUUGAAGGAGGAAAACUUGGCAAUCGUCUUCAAGCUUCAGCUUGUUGCAAGCACUUCACUGCUUAUGACUUGGAUAAUUGGAAAGGAAUCAAUUGCUUUGGCUUUGAUGCUCGUGGUUACAUUCUUGCCUUUCAGCUUGGUCAUUCAAUUGUAGACCCAGUGCCAAGCUUAUUCACCUUCAAGAUUGAGGACACACAGUUAGCAGAGUUGUCUAGGGUGCACUAAUAAGGACAGUGGGGUGGCAUGAUCCUGGCUUCGUACACACAAGUUAUCUGAAGGACCUGUAGCCCAAUUCAGUAAUGUUUGUACCAAUAAAGAAAGUCAUACUAUCAGGGUCCCUUGAAUGGAACCAUCCAUGUAGUUGCUGGGGGAGGAGAUACUAGCCUUGCAGAUUUCACCACAAUACAGACCAGAUGGAGUUAUUACAAGGGCCAUGACUUUGAAUUCAUAAAGCGUACAGCAUCGGACCACUCAAAUCUGUUGUUUGAGUACAAGAAGAGAAGUGAUGGGAAGGUCUGUGACUGCUUUAGAAUCUCACGAGAUUAUAGGGCAUCAUGGCUUGCAGUGUUGACAGCCGCCCAAGCAUGAUAUUAGCUUCUUGAAGAGAAUACACUUGGGUAUCUGUGUAAAUUUUUACUCAUUGUAGUGGUAAAUUGUCACAUCUCUUUAAUGUUCCACCCCAAAGAACACACAAAUUGUAGUAUCCUAGUCUUUGCAGACCAAGAGUCUAGACCGUGAAGAAACAAUUCGGUUUUCUGCAAAUUUGUUGUAAUUUCUUUAUUUUCCUGUAAUUUUUUGUAUUUUUC